rnacentral:lncRNA from 1 species
CAACACCUCAAACACCCAGUCUUCUGCAACGAAUCUGCAGCCUUCAACAUCCGCAGCCAAGCUUCUCUGUAUCAAGAUCCGAACCACAGCAGCCCACGAAUCCCUGCAUGCAGCCAACGACUUCGAUCCAUCCUUAUCUUGACAUGAAAUAGGAAAAGAAGAGAGAAGUUGCAGCCUAUAAAAGGCCCAGAUGUGAAACAGGGGAGGGCACUUCUCUUCGGCGACUCCUUAGAAUAUUUUACCUGAAGGGGGAGGAGGGAGCCCGCUGAUCCCAAUCGGCUCUUCUCAGGUUGAGCUUCCACCAAAGUAAGAAGGGAGAGAAUACUUUGGGUCUUUUUGGAAAUGCCUUCUCAAAAGAAAAAAAUAAUGAAUUGCUAGAGAAGGAAGGAGAGAUCCAGGGAAGGGAGGAAGAAAAGAAGAAAUGGGAGCCCGCUGCUGUGCCACUGCUGCUGUCACCCACGACUCCAUGGAAGGCUGAUCUCCUCUCUAGGGCCAGAUGCAGCCCUAACAAAGGGCUAAGGGUUUUGUAUUUUUGAUUUUUAUUCUUGGAGUUGUAUAAACUUUAUUUUGCUCUUAAUGAAUAUUUUAUUUCAUCUCAUAUUUAAUUUCUGUGAUUUUAAAUAUGACGUUUAUACAACUGUUCUUCAUGAUCACUAAGUAAAUAUGAGAUAGUUCAUGCUUAAGGAAGAUGCAGUAUCCUGCCACAUUAGUUUAUGGUAGACAUUUCAUGCUAACUGAAAAUAGAUUAUUCCCAAAUUGCUUUUGUGAAUUUCUAUUUAAAUGCUUAUUAGGCUUGUAGCCAAUUUGCAUGUUAAUCCAAGAAUAAAUUAAAAUACAAUUAAUCCUUGUUCCAAUGUUAGUGGUGAAUUCCUUGCCCUAGGUUCCCUCAAACUGAUAAUACCUUAAUUGCAUUUUUUAUUAAAUUCCUUAGUUUAAUUUUCUUCACAAACUCUUCCUUUUAAAUAUUUUUAUUUUUAAGAAAACAACUGUACCCCAAUUCCUGUGGAUCGAUACCC